rnacentral:lncRNA from 1 species
CUUCGACAUCACACAAAAAUAUGAUUUUUCCUUCUAUAUAUGUGGUUUGCUUUACAUGGUAGGAAUACUCUUCUUACUCAUCCAACCAUGUAUUCAAAUUAUAGAACAAUCCAGAAGAAAAUACAUAGAUGGUGCACAUGCUUAGUGUCAUGUGAUUUCAGGUCGGAUUUCAUUUGUGGUACUCAUGCCUACCUCGCUUGGUUGCUGUGAGGAGCCUGUGAGGAGCCUGUGACCGGGGGAAGAGCUUUGUAAAUGCCAUUGUCAUUACUUUUUUCGAGUAGCACUGCCUCUGCUUCCAGGCAUUGCUGGAGGGUAUUAAGGACUACAUGUUUAAAGAAGAUGGUGUUUACAGCUUAUUGAAUAAUAGGUACAAAUGCCCUCAUAAAAACUACUCUCUCUUCUCAUUCAUUGGGACUAGGAUUUUAGAUGCGAAGACAGGGGAUAAGAGCUUUUCAACUCAUCUAUUUCUUUGCAAGGUGUAACUGAAGCAUCUGUAUGUCUCCAGAAAGGGUGUGGAUAGGUGAGUCUCGAGCCCAAGAAUACGACUGGAUUCAGAAAUUAAUUAUAGGGAGUUAUUGAUCUACCAGUAGAAUACAAAGACAGGCUCCAAUACAGUUUAGUACAAUUAAAGAAUGAAUUCUACAGCGAGGAAGUACGAUUUAUAAAUCUUCCCAUAAGAGGCAGCAUUGGCCAUCAAUUCUAAUUCAGUUAUUCAGUAUUAAAAGACGGUUCGGUGAUGAGCUGAAUAAGGCCGAACCUCAACAAGCAGAUACGGUGAAUGAUUUCCUUAGCAGAAGCUGCAUUUGUGCACACAACCAUUGAAUCAAGGGCUAUGAUUCAGGCACUUUUAUUCAUAUCACUGGGCUGUCAGAUUAUGAGCAUGACCUGUGGCCUUGAACACUUUUUUUCUGAGUUUCUCCUGCCCAACAAAUAGAAUAGAGAACUAAUUGCUGAUUAACAUAUAAAAUCGGUGAUUUAAUCACUUGUUAAGCAUGCUGCUGAAUCCAAAACACCAGCCUGUCAAGUUGUGAGGGAGAUGAAUAGAACGCCCUUGGAUGACUGUGCACCUGACGCUGGAGUGGUGGUGACAAGUGGCCGUCCCCGGUGCCUCUCACUGAUCUGUAGAUCAUUCACUUGCCUGAGCUGGGCACAGUUUUAAAAAUAGUUCUCUGCAUUGAUUUCAUACACAAGAUGACUGUGUAUGAAUAAUGCCCUCCUUUAUCUGAGAUGUCUAUUUUUCUAAGCCAAACAUUUUUCAGACUGCAGAAUGUUUCUUCCGAGAAUCAUUUUGAAAUUUCUGGCUACCUUACUUGUUUACACAUACCUUAAAACUAUGGAAAUUCCUACUUCUGUGGCUGGGGUGUACCUCAUGGGCAGAGCGCUUGCCUAGUAAGUACAAGGCCUUGGGUUUGAUCCCCAGCACUGCAGAACAUAAAUAAAUAAAUUUCUACUCGCAAUUUUCUCAUCACACAAAAUCAGUCCUUUAAUAUCAUUGGCAGUGUCUUGGGUCAUAUUUUUUCUAAAAUGAAUACAUCUGAUUUUCAAUUAUCCUUGGUGAUUAGAAACAGGAAUGCUACUACAGUUUGGAAUCACCGAAUGCUACCCCAUGCCUAAUUAGCCAGCAGUUGUGUUGUGCUCUACCAACCCUCCAAGCUGUUAAGUGAUUAAAUGGACAAGUUUCCUUUGGUUUCAUCUCCGUUAUUUCCUACUACAAUGUCUAGCAGGAGGCUUAUGUACUGAAAGAACCACCAAAAUAACAGGGAUAACAAAAGGCAGCUAAUAGGAGAAGCAAAAGCAUGGCUGACCGACACACUUGAUAUCCCCUCUAGUGAUCUGAGAAUGGCAUGGGAAUUACCAUAGAUAACAAUUUGCACGCCAUCCUCCUUUGGCUUAGCACCACCACCCAUUUGUUAUUACAGCUUUGGCUGCUGUUACAGAAGCUCACCCUCUCUGUUUUGAUCUGGUAAUCAUAAAAGCUGAGGCAAUGCUAUAUAUGUACAUGUGUAUUUACCCUAAAAUUAGGAUAACUAGAUUGAAAAACAUGCUGUGUGUUUAAAACCACAUUACUUACAUUUUUCUGACAACACCAAACUAACAAGAGGCAGUGUUAAAUCUUCUGAAUGGUGCUAUAGCCCACGCGUCCAGAUGUUCACACUUCGAGUGGUGGACUCGAAGUUGUGACCUUUUUAAUCCAGUGACCCAGCUGUAAUUACUCCAAGUUAGACCUGCUCACAUUCGGUUUGCACACUCAUUGGUUAACUGACUGUAUUCAUGGAAGUGGUGACUCCUACCAAAGCAGCAGAUGUUCCCAUGUUACAAAACUGGAGAAAGACCUGCUUGCAAUAUUCAUGUUGAUAUCAGAAUAUUAAUCAAGAAUUACAGCAAAUCUCUCCUACUGAUGUUACUCUACACAGUUCUUUGAAGACACUAUGAAGGGUUAAUUGUAUAUUUAUUUCAUGUGCUUUAUAGUUUUCCCCUUACAUGCCCACGUGACUUUCAUUUACAUAUAACUAAAUAAAAUUUGUCCUCAUUAAAGAUGGUUGGUGAGUUUUCAUAUAAAAUCUCUGUUCUUUUGUUCUCAAUGGGAAUAUUCCUAAAAUGAAGCUGAGACUAAUUAUCUGUUUGGCUCUUUCACCUGCAACUGUGCUUCUUCAGACCUGGUCACAGAACCUCC